GAUGAACGCUGGCGGCGUGCCUAAUACAUGCAAGUCGAGCGAACGGACGAUAAGCUUGCUUCUCUGAUGUUAGCGGCGGACGGGUGAGUAACACGUGUAUAACCUACCUAUAAGACUGGGAUAACUUCGGGAAACCGGAGCUAAUACCGGAUAAUAUUUUGAACCGCAUGGUUCAAAAGUGAAAUACGGUCUUGCUGUCACUUAUAGAUGGAUCCGCGCUGCAUUAGCUAGUUGGUAAGGUAACGGCUUACCAAGGCAACGAUGCAUAGCCGACCUGAGAGGGGGAUCGGCCACACUGGAACUGAGACACGGUCAAGACUCCUACGGGAGGCAGCAGUAGGGAAUCUUCCGCAAUGGGCGAAAGCCUGACGGAGCAACGCCGCGUGAGUGAUGAAGGUCUUCGGAUCGUAAAACUCUGUUAUGAGGGAAGAACAUAUGUGUAAGUAAAUGUGCACAUCUUGACGGUACCUAAUCAGAAAGCCACGGCUAACUACGUG
rnacentral:rRNA from 1 species